rnacentral:rRNA from 1 species
CCCUUAGAUGUUCUGGGCCGCACGCGCGCUACACUGAAUGGAUCAACGUGUUUUCCCUUCCCGAGAGGGACGGGUAACCCGCUGAACCCCAUUCGUGGUAGGGAUCGGAGCUUGCAAUUGUUCUCCGUGAACCAGGAAUUCCCAGUAAGCGCAAGUCAUAAGCUUGCGUUGAUUACGUCCCUGCCCUUUGUACACACCGCCCGUCGCACCUACCGAUUGAAUGGUCCGGUGAAAGCCUCGGACCGUGGCAGCGUUGCUUUAUUGGAGCGCCGCCGUGGGAAGUUGUUUAAACCUUACCAUUUAGAGGAAGGUGAAGUCGUAACA